AUCUUAUCAAGAGCGGUGGAGGAAUCUGGUCCUGUGAUCCCGCGGCAACCUGUUCGUAAAGAACAAGGUGCUUCUUCCAGCAGACACUAUCUGUCUGAAAGAUAAGAG
rnacentral:ncRNA from 1 species